rnacentral:rRNA from 1 species
AGCGAACGCUGGCGGCAGGCUUAACACAUGCAAGUCGAACGCGCGUAGCAAUACGUGAGUGGCAGACGGGUGAGGAACACGUGGGAACAUACCCUUUGGUUCGGAAUAACUCAGGGAAACUUGAGCUAAUACCGGAUAAGCGCGAGAGCGGAAAGAUUUAUCGCCGAAGGAGUGGCCCGCGUCUGAUUAGCUAGUUGGUGAGGUAAUGGCUCACCAAGGCGACGAUCAGUAGCUGGUCUAAGGGGAUGAUCAGCCACACUGGGACUGAGACACGGCCCAGACUCCUACGGGAGGGAGCAGUGGGGAAUAUUGGACAAUGGGCGCAAGCCUGAUCCAGCCAUGCCGCGUGAGUGAUGAAGGCCUUAGGGUUGUAAAGCUCUUUUGUCCGGGAAGAUAAUGACUGUACCGGAAGAAUAAGCCCCGGCUAACUUCGUGCCAGCCGCCGCCGUAA